rnacentral:lncRNA from 1 species
AAAGUCUUCUGACAGCGAAUAGCAAGGAUAAAUGUUCUAAGGCCAUAAUGAAUUAGAUGUUUUGAGAAAUAGAGAAUAAGAAAUGGCAACCCACUCCAGUAUUCUUGCCUGGAAAAGCCUGUGGACAGAGGAGACUGGCGGGCUAUAGUCCAUGGGGUUGCUAGAGUUGGACAAGGCUUAGUGACUAAAUCACCACCACACCUCAGUGCAGCUGGAGCACGUUGAACUGAGGCCUAGAAUGGAGAGGAAUGAGGACUAUCUUAAAUGGGGAACAAAAGUCAUCACAAAGAACUGAGAAAAUAGAGAUAAUGAGAGUUGUCUUUUCUAGUUACCAGCUUCAGUCUCCGCAGCUGUAAUGGACUUUCAAGGCAAGUUAAGAC